GUGUAGAUGUACUCGUGGUGUCCUCAUCAUCCUCCCCUUCUUGAACUGAAGUCGUCCUCGACGGCAACUCCUCAUCUUCGCCCACAUACGGUUUCAAAUCUGCAACAUUAAAACUUGUGGAAACACCAAACUCCGCAGGCAGGUCAAGGAUAUAAGCAUUAUCAUUAAUCUUGGUUAGCACUUUAAAAGGACCAGCAGCACGUGGCAUCAAUUUAGAACGACGUAAGGUAGGAAAACGAUCCUU
rnacentral:lncRNA from 1 species